rnacentral:rRNA from 1 species
UACGAACUGUGCGAACGUUAUUCGGAAUCACUGGGCGUAAAGGGUGCGUAGGCGGGUCUUUUAAGUCAGGGGUGAAAUCCUGGAGCUCAACUCCAGAACUGCCUUUGAUACUGAGGAUCUUGAGUUCGGGAGAGGUGAGUGGAACUGCGAGUGUAGAGGUGAAAUUCGUAGAUAUUCGCAAGAACACCAGUGGCGAAGGCGGCUCACUGGCCCGAUACUGACGCUGAGGCACGAAAGCGUGGGGAGCAAACAGG